GCAAGUCGAACGAGAAAGCACCUUCGGGUGUGAGUAGAGUGGCGCACGGGUGAGUAACACGUAGGUGACGUGCCUUUUAGCACGGGAUAACCCAGAGAAAUCAGGGCUAAUACCGUAUAUUGUUAACAAAAAUGAAAGUAGUUAAUGAAAGAUAGCCUCUACUUGUAAGCUAUUACUAAAAGAGCGGCCUGCGGGACAUUAGCUUGAUGGUGGGGUAAUGGCCUACCAUGGCGACGAUGUCUAGCGGAUUUGAGAGAAUGAUC
rnacentral:rRNA from 1 species